AGUGAACGCUGGCGGUAGGCCUAACACAUGCAAGUCGAACGGCAGCACAGUAAGAGCUUGCUCUUACGGGUUGCGAGUGGCGGACGGGUGAGGAAUACAUCGGAAUCUACUUUUUCGUGGGGGAUAACGUAGGGAAACUUACGCUAAUACCGCAUACGACCUACGGGUGAAAGCAGGGGAUCUUCGGACCUUGCGCGGUUGAAUGAGCCGAUGUCGGAUUAGCUAGUUGGCGGGGUAAAGGCCCACCAAGGCGACGAUCCGUAGCUGGUCUGAGAGGAUGAUCAGCCACACUGGAACUGAGACACGGUCCAGGCUCCUACGGGAGGGAGCAGUGGGGAAUAUUGGACAAUGGGCGCAAGCCUGAUCCAGCCAUACCGCGUGGGUGAAGAAGGCCUUCGGGUUGUAAAGCCCUUUUGUUGGGAAAGAAAAGCAGCAGGUUAAUACCCCGCUGUUCUGACGGUACCCAAAGAAUAAGCACCGGCUAACUUCGUG
rnacentral:rRNA from 1 species